CAAAAUGGCACCGGGAUCCGCUUCUGAACCGGCCUCCGGCAAUAGCGUCUCGUCCGCCGCUAACGGCGGCAUGACGGUGGCCGAGUGCGAAAAUAUGAUCCAAAGAAGCCUUCGAACUCCGAUGGUGAAGUUUUUGAAGGAGCAUUUGGAGAAAGGUGGAUGUAAUAUUGCCUCCAACUUCAUAAAGGCCAUCAACUGCGACCAGCGGAUGAGCGGUGGUUAUGUUCGUGGAGAAGGGAUAGUGGUAUGUAGUAAUUACAUGAACAUUCAAGAUGAGGUCAAUCAAGUUGUCAUCCACGAGCUGAUUCAUGCAUAUGAUGACUGUCGAGCUGCAAACUUGGAUUGGACUAAUUGUGCUCAUCAUGCCUGUAGUGAGAUCCGAGCUGGCCAUCUUAGCGGUGACUGCCACUAUAAGAGGGAACUAUUGCGAGGCUUUGUCAAAUUAAGAGGCCAUGAACAAGACUGUGUGAGAAGAAGAGUGAUGAAGUCAUUGGCGAAUAACCCCUACUGUUCAGAAGCAGCUGCUAAGGAUGCAAUGGAAGCUGUUUGGGACACAUGCUAUAAUGAUACAAAACCAUUUGACAGAGCCCCUUGAGAAUUCCAUAUUUGAUAGCAAUUUCCCCAUAUUUAUUCAAAAUAUGUAGCUUUAAGAAGACUAAACAUUGCCCUCCUUGGUGGGGGAUCAACAUAGCGACGAUAUUCAAGGUUCUAUUGAGGUGGACUGAUGACCUUUAUUUAUUAUCUUUGAAAAUGGGCCCAUCAUUGUUGGAUUUUUUAAUUCAAGUAAACAUCAAACUGUGUUUUUAGGUAGUUUGAAAGGGACUGCCAUAACGGAAACCGAAGACAGAGCUCCAGGUGGUGGGGCAGGGAUGCUGAAACUGCAAAUGGAUCAUCAAAUCACGGGGAAAGGAGUGGAUGGCGGCAGCGGUGAUAGACAUAACAGGUGGUGGUCGGAGGAAGAUUAUUCUUUACCUCAUCGCCGUAUUCCCGUACACAAUAAUCUCGAUCCAUAAUGAAUGUUUUGAUCUCGUUCUAAGCCGUCCGUUUGUUUCGUGGCUUGCUGCAUAUGGGCUAUGGCUAGCCACCAAUCCAUGCGUGUUUUGGAAUAUACAUAUUUUGAGAAGCAUCAAGUACUGUAAUUAGUAGCGAAAUUAAGUUGAUUAAUCAUCCCAAAUUAACGGUGUAAGCGGUUCUAAUAAUUUAUAACA